rnacentral:rRNA from 1 species
ACGCACGUGUGAAACUUGAAGGAAUUGACGGAAGGGCACCACAAGAACGCGUGGAGCAUGUGGCUUAAUUUGACCCAACGCGGGAAAUCUUACCGGGUCCGGACACACUGAGGAUUGACAGGCAAUAUUAGCAAUUCUAUGUCUUUCGGGAUAUUAGUAGUUGUUAUGUUAAAUAUGCUAGUCCUUUCAUGAUUAUGUGAUAGGUGGUGCAUGGCCGUUCUUAGUUCGUGGAGUGAUCUGUCUGCUUAAUUGCGUUUCACUAAGGGCCUAUAAUUUAACGUGUGUUGCGGCACUUUGACCCCUCUUUUUUAAAGAGCGCGUGCCUUAGCUUGUUUAGCUCACACAAUUAGGUCCUGAAAGCAACGAACGUGACCG